rnacentral:rRNA from 1 species
AUACGGAGGGGGCUAGCGUUGUUCGGAUUUACUGGACGUAAAGGGCGCGUAGGCGGCUACGCAAGUCGGACGUGAAAUCCCUCGGCUCAACUGAGGAACUGCGUCCGAAACUGCGUAGCUCGAGUCCCGGAGAGGGUAGCGGAAUUCCCAGUGUAGCGGUGAAAUGCGUAGAUAUUGGGAGGAACACCAGUGGCGAAGGCGGCUACCUGGACCGAUACUGACGCUGAGGCGCGAAAGCGUGGGGAGCAAACAGGAUUAGAAACCCCAGUAGUCC